GGCAAACAAAGCUAAGCAUUAUACUUACAAAUACUUUCUCAGGAAAGUCUUCAAAGUUACGCAAUUUUAGGCACGCAGACGCGCAUGAACCCACAAAAACACACUCUCCCAAGAUCCACCGCCCGGGGGCCACAGUUUGGGGCUGCGCCUCGGGGCCAGGGCGAUCCCCAAACCCUCCACCGCGACGCCCCGGCUCCGGCGCAGCCUGGCUCCCCGGGACCCGCGCCCCACCGGCCCGGCCGCGCGCACUUCGGAGAAAGCCGUCCCAUGUCGUACCCGCCACCGCACCCAGCCCCUCCGUACCUCUUCCUCCUGAAGUACCAGCUUCGACAUAUUCCUUCUUAGUCGGCAGCUUGAAAUGACAAGACCAGAGAACUCGAGUGAUAUCCGGGGGCAGCCCGCUCCGAGCCGCCGUUUUCAGGGCGCAACUUCAAACCCACCUCCGACGCCGUUUCCUCCGAAACCUCUCCAGCCUCCUCGCUCUGGCCGGCCCUUGCUCUCCGCGAGGCUUCCCGCGCGGCUCCUCCUCCGAUUCCUCUCCAGCCCUUAUCAGACUGUCCUGGAAUUAGUUGUUUACCUGGCUGCCUCUGAUUCUUCUGGGAGAUCUUUCUUGGAAGACAGGACCAAGCCCUGUUUAUCUUUUGAAUCCCACGUUAAUUUGAAUAUGCUACCCGGUGUAUAGUAGGCACUCAAUAAAUAUUUGUUGGCUGAGGGACUAUUCUUCACUGCCAGCCCAACUGGAGGCCAAUACAGAUGACAUUCCGAGGAUCAAAGCAGCUUAAAGAAGGGAGAUAGCAUUCUGGGAGGUCAGCGCACGAAGCGCCAACGUCUGAAGGAAGAACUGCCUGGUUUCUGUUUCCUCGUCUGUGAAAUGGAAGUAGUUCUGUUUAUCUCCCAGGAGUUUGCUGUUAGAGAUGAGUUGAUAGAUAAAACUGUAGCACCUGGCACCCAUUCUUACCCAGUUAAGUUUACAAUACAUGGAAACUGACAUUAAGGAAAUUUCCAUUUUUCCUGAGCCAUCGAGAACUUUUCCAACGCUAUCAUUUAAGCUUUCAAACUUAGUGACUGGUACAAACACAUACAUUUGAAACUCCGAACAUCGGUAGAUUCUCCCUCACUUCUCACUCCCAGGAAUUCUCCCUUACAGCAGGCUGUUCCCUAUCAGCACAGCACCAAUCACAGUUUCUAAUUAUUUAUUUGCUUGCUUGGCUGUUUGUCUCUCCUUCCCCACCCCUCCCCUACUGGGUAUUCUUUACCCUGUACUGGUUUAAGUGCUCCUGGGAAUGGGAUGGGGGUGGCGCCUGGAAUUAAAAGAUAAGGCUUCUGCUUUUAGCGAAUUUAAAGUGGUGUGGAGACAAGAUAACUCCCGACAACAUAAUCGCAGAUCCUGGUUCAAAUCUUAGAAAGCAAAGAAAAUAUUUGUUUUUAUGAAGAGAAAACCAGUAGUGAUACUUGGAUUAACAUACUGAAUUUUCUAGGGUGGAGGGGAAGUCUGAAGAUUUUGAUAAAGUGAGUUCAUUGCUGUCACGAUGUCAUUUCUCUCUAUGGGAAAAAAAAGUGUAUCCCAGAUAAAAAUAAACCAAGAGUCUAUUAAAACUGCAAUCGAAGUUCAGGAGCAGCUUAGGUACAGUUAAUCUGGAAAUUUAAAUGGCCUUUUCCUCUUCCAGUUCCUCCCUCAGUUAUAUGAGGAGCCACGAGGGGGCAAUAUCUUCCUGAGCAAUGGCUGAGUGGUGGUCUUGGGCGCCUGUGCUGACCAGUGAUGCCAGAACUUUACCCUCCUUGGCCAUUCUUGCCUGUUCCUGAACACACUCCACAGAAAGGCAUUGUCUUGCUGGAGCCUGGCAGAGACCCAAGAAGAAUGACAAUUGACCUAGUCAUUGAUAGUCCCCGUCAGGCUCCACUUAAGAGUAGGUGAAUCUUGUGUGAUUCUAGGAUUCUGGGAGAACCUCCCCUACCCCCAUUCAAGGAAAUGUGACUUAAUCUAAAACAUGGAACCCGAUUCCUUUAUCUUUAAGCCAAGUUGGCACCUUGUCUAUCGUUACAAGUCAAAAACCUCUGGAAUAAAAAAAUGAGAGUAA